UAGGACGCAAGCGAGUUUCCUCGAUGGAGUGUUGGUUGAGCUUGAACAUGACACGUCGCUCGUCCUCAUCUAAUAUGUUCGCUUUCGCUCUCUCUCUCACACCAGAUCACCCGUUUGCUCGCUCGCUCGACAACUGUUUCAGGUCUUUCCGAAUUCCGAUCAAGUUCUGAAGGUCAAUCUCAGUUGGGGACGGAAGAGGGGAAGGCGUUCAAAUUAAUCAAGUGGGGAUCAAGGGAAAUUGAAAGAUGGGAUUCGUGGUGGUAAUAUCGUUACCAGUGAUUCUAUUCAUCUUGAUACUAGCCAUUGCUUGUUACCUUCUUGGAAGGGCCCGGGGUCAGACUCUGGCAAGGCCUGCUCCACCACAGUAUUAUGGGCCUCCACCUGUUCUUCCGGUGCCACCGCAGGCCCAUGACCAUGAAAAACCACAAGCUUAGAGGUUUAUAGUGUAUACUGUGCUGUAUUACACGAGUUUACCGUGAUGGUUGUAUUAUAAGCAUUUGUACUUUUGUAGGGAUUGUUUGGGUAUUUCAGUAUUUCUUUACUCGUAGCUUGCUUCUGGACUUUAAGGCUCCAUUCCUUUGUA